AUAUCUUCAAACAAAGAGACGACGACAAGAACAACAACACUAAGAACGACGACGAACAGAGAAAAAGGAACACAAGAUAAACUAUUCGACGAUUUCGUUUUGCCUCCUCCUUCUUUGUCUUCUUCUUUGUCUU
rnacentral:ribozyme from 1 species